UACAACCAUACCCCCUGGAAAAUACGGGAUUUCGUCCGCUUUCCCAGAGUCAAGCCGGUGAGGGCUGGAUUAGUAGUUUGGUCGGUGACGAUCAGCGAAUAUGUGGUAUUAC